rnacentral:sRNA from 1 species
CACCGCGCAAAUAUUGACUUUUUUGGAGGAAAUUUGAAAGAAAUACAUACCACCCACUGUG